CACUAUGAUGAUAUCCGGGAUCAAACCCAAGCGACUAGCGAUGGAGCGAUGCUGUCAACUGUUAACCAUCUUUCGGGGCUGAAG
rnacentral:snoRNA from 1 species